CAUGUUUCCCCGUUCAAGGUGGAUAACCAAGAAAAACUGAAAGCAGGAACUUGCUCAGGGCAGCACUAUUGCGAUAUCCAAAAGAUCUUUAUGAACCCAGGAGGAGCUUAGGAGUCAUCUCUCCCGGAGGGUCAAUGAUUCACCCAGUCGUACUGAGGAAUCAGGUAUCAGGAUGCUCCUUGUGCUUUUUAAUCAAAGGGAUCCCCGCCUCAUGAGCCAAGUCCCAGCAAAGGAAAAGCAAUAUGUGCCUCAAGGGCAAACCUGAAGCUGCCUUUCUCACCUGUGACCUCCAGCUGCAAGUGCUCACUUUGCUCCGACCACUCCUGGGAGGCCAUUGUCUUGUAGGCACAAAAGUAUGUCCCAGAAUCCUUUGG